UCGGAUAUCAUAAAACUGCUUCACAUUUUGCUCAGGUUCUCUCUCUCUGGUAUGUCGUACACGUUAUGCGUGUAAAGCGGUUAUACGAUUAGUGUGAAAAUGACGAAUAUGGUAGGUACCUUGGAAUCGUGCAGUUUCGUCGCUAUACGGACAAUUGUUUAAACAUAUCCGACCGUGGUUUUUGGUCGUGCUCUUGUUUGUACGUACGCGAUGAAAGUAGUAUUAGUAAGCGACACGUGGCUGACGUUAUAACGGAAUGAUGACGAGUUGUUGUUACGUAUAGACGUGUGAAAAAUGUGAAGUCCCGUGUAUCUGCAGGCGUAUGUUCGGACUGCGUUUAUUUAUUUUAUUGUUUUUCUACUCCCGGGAAAGGAAUAUACGCGCAUAUCGUUAUCUCCUUACCUGGUACCAUUGUCUCGAUCUUGUACGACGAAAGUGUAAAAUAAUUUACGACGUCUUACGGAGAAUCAUCAGGAUAAAGAUUUUUAAAUUCCCCAUGCGGUUUAUGCAAUAAUUUUUAUAAUUAUAUACGUUAAACUUUAACGGUAAUUUAACCGUUUGAGUCAUAGCGGUAUAGGUAUUCUUACUUAACUGUUUUAUACUAGUAGGUUUUCAAUACUCGACAGUAAUUAUAGCGAUCAAUAUAAAUUGUUAUUGUGAGAAACAAACUGAUUGAAAGAAAUCGUGAAAAUUUACCUCUCUUCUUGUUAUAAAAGUUGACUUGGCACAAUAAUGUUUGACUCAAAGGGUUAACUAAAACAUUAUCGGCAAUCGUAUAUCUUAUUAUAAUUGUUUAUAGAUAUCGCGUGAUAAUUUUUCAAACCUCAUUCACAAGUUGGGCCAUAAUCUGGAUCCUGAUCGCGUAUACACGUGUUGUUCGUUACAAUUGUCAUUUAUCUGCGAAAACUGAAUGUGAGUAGACCCGAGACGAUGUAGAUAAAUCUAAAACAAACAUGAUACUCGAGUGCCUUACGUGUUCCGACUGAAAACAAAUCGCUACUUUUAAAUCCGCCGUUGUAAAAAUAAACAAUAUAUGUAUGUACUUUGUAAACUAUAAUAUACCGGGAUUAUCAAAAGAUUUGUAUGCUAGUAUCAUACAAUCGUGGAUU